GACGAACGCUGGCGGCGUGCUUAACACAUGCAAGUCGAACGAAGUGGCGAACGGGUGAGUAACGCGUAAUCAACCUGCCCUUCAGAGGGGGACAACAGUUGGAAACGACUGCUAAUACCGCAUACUGAAGGAGGGGAUUGCGUCUGAUUAGAUAGUUGGAGGGGUAACGGCCCACCAAGGCGAUGAUCAGUAGCCGGUCUGGGAGGAUGUACGUCCACCUUGGUACUGAGAACCGGCCCAGACUCCUACGGGGGGCAGCAGUGGGGAAUCUUCCGCAAUGGACGAAAGUCUGACGGAGCAACGCCGCGUGAGUGAUUACGGCCUUCGGGUUGUAAAGCUCUGUUAAUCGGGACGCGGUACCGGAAUAGAAAGCCACGGCUAACUACGUGCCAGCAGCCGCGGUAAUAC
rnacentral:rRNA from 1 species